AUGUAAUCGCGGCUGACAGAACCGAAAGGGGUCAGGUGAGGAAAGUCCGGGCUUCACAGGGCAGGAUACCGGAUAACGUCCGGCGGAGGCGACUCCAGGGACAGUGCAACAGAAAUAUACCGCCAGGCAGCUGGUAAGGGUGGAAAGGCAGUGUAAGAGACUACCGCCCCGGUGGUGACAGCGGGGGCACAUGUAAACCCUAUCCGAAGCAAGACCGAACAGAAAACCAUGUGGCUGCCCGUCACGUUUUCAGGUGGGUCGCUUGAGCCUGCCGGCAACGGCAGGACUAGAUAGAUGAUUACACACGACAUAACCCGGCUUAUCGUUCUGCUUA
rnacentral:RNase_P_RNA from 1 species